UACGAAGGGGGCUAGCGUUGCUCGGAAUUACUGGGCGUAAAGCGCACGUAGGCGGCUUUCUAAGUCGGGGGUGAAAUCCUGGAGCUCAACUCCAGAACUGCCUUCGAUACUGGAGAGCUCGAGUCCGGGAGAGGUGAGUGGAACUGCGAGUGUAGAGGUGAAAUUCGUAGAUAUUGCAAGAACACCAGUGGCGAAGGCGGCUCACUGGCCCGGUACUGACGCUGAGGUGCGAAAGCGUGGGGAGCAAACAGG
rnacentral:rRNA from 1 species